AUCUAGCUGAAGAGUCCCAAAUAUGACGAAACGCGUGUUCGUUCCGGAU
rnacentral:hammerhead_ribozyme from 1 species